GAUGAACGCUGGCGGCGUGCCUAAUACAUGCAAGUCGAGCGAACAGACGAGGAGCUUGCUCCUCUGACGUUAGCGGCGGACGGGUGAGUAACACGUGGAUAACCUACCUAUAAGACUGGGAUAACUUCGGGAAACCGGAGCUAAUACCGGAUAAUAUAUUGAAUCGCAUGGUUCAAUAGUGAAAGACGGUUUUGCUGUCACUUAUAGAUGGAUCCGCGCCGCAUUAGCUAGUUGGUAAGGUAACGGCUUACCAAGGCGACGAUGCGUAGCCGACCUGAGAGGGUGGUCGGCCACACUGGAACUGAGACACGGUCCAGACUCCUACGGGAGGCAGCAGUAGGGAAUCUACCGCAAUGGGCGAAAGCCUGACGGAGCAACGCCGCGUGAGUGAUGAAGGUCUUCGGAUCGUAAAACUCUGUUAUUAGGGAAGAACAAAUGUGUAAGUAACUAUGCACGUCUUGACGGUACCUAAUCAGAAAGCCACGGCUAACUACGUG
rnacentral:rRNA from 1 species